rnacentral:misc_RNA from 1 species
UAAUAAGUGUUUUAUGGCACUUUAAAUCCAUAUCCACCUUGUGUGCAAUGUCAGUCGAUCUUCUUCAUGGAGAUCGACCAAACAUCAACCUUUAUCUUUUAACUCUUUGUCUGAAAAUAUUAUGAAUAAACAAUUCAAAAUA